rnacentral:lncRNA from 1 species
ACUGUGGGAAAUCCAAGAUGGCCGCUCAGUGGUUCCUGGCUUCGCGGCAAACCUCAUUUUCCUCAGCAUUCCUUCACGCAGCGCAGUGCUUUUCCUAUACUUCACGUGGUAAAUAGACAUUGUGGGAAGAUUUCUAUAAAAUUGUGAAAAUGUUCUACCAGGAUUGUCUGACCUUUCAGCACCACAACCCUGAAGAAAAUUGUUUUUCUCCUCAGAGGUCUCACCUCUCUCCCUCUGGAGUCUCUGAACACUUGCAAAUGACACAUGGCCUAACUUGGGGAACCUACCUGCGUCACCGCCUCCUGCACUGAGACCCAGUCUGUUUAACUGAAAUGACCGGUUUGUUCUCAGAACUGAGAAAAUGGUUCAAUGAAAUGAAGGACUCUAGUAACCCAUUCUCUCUCUCCACGGUUACCAACUCAGCGUUUAACAUAUGAAACUUCCAGGUAAACUUCCUGUGACAAGUCCAUUUCAGCUCUGUGGGACAAAACAUCUAACUGAUACAAAGGCUUGUUCAUCAAUGCUUUCUGGAGGAAAGGUUUUAACCAAAAGGGGAAAUGAUGAGAAUUUGAAAUCAUAAUGGAAUAAUGCCUGUUUAGGCAUGUGAAAUGGAAUUGGGCUGCCACCGGGGAUCAGGUCACAGGCAUGUCCUUGCACCGCUGAGGACCUGAACUUUGUGAACUAUACCAAACCCAAGGACCCCAGCCACGUUUAAAAUAACAUCUGCUACAUACAACUUUGUGGCCUUAAGGUAGUUCUCCCCUUUGUAGUUAUUCAGCCAUUUUGGACCUCAACCAAGUUCUGCUCAACAAACACUGUUCCUCUUUGCCAGCUCCAGUUAUAACCCUU